rnacentral:rRNA from 1 species
CCCAGACUCCUACGGGAGGCAGCAGUGGGGGAUAUUGCACAAUGGGGGGAACCCUGAUGCAGCGACGCCGCGUGGGUGAAGGAGCGUUUCGGCGCGUAAAGCCCUAUCGGCAGGGAAGAAGGAGGACGGUACCUGACUAAGAAGCCCCGGCUAACUACGUGCCAGCAGCCGCGGUAAUGCGUAGGGGGCAAGCGUUAUCCGGAUUUACUGGGUGUAAAGGGGGCGCAGACGGCAGCGCAAGCCAGGAGUGAAAGCCCGGGGCCCAACCCCGGGACUGCUCUUGGAACUGCGCGGCUGGAGUGCAGGAGGGGCAGGCGGAAUUCCUGGUGUAGCGGUGAAAUGCGUAGAUAUUAGGAGGAACACCAGUGGCGAAGGCGGCCUGCUGGACGAUGGCUGACGCUGAGGCUCGAAAGCGUGGGGAGCAAACAGGAUUAGAUACCCGAGUAUG